GUGCUCGCUUUGGCAGCACAUAUACUAAGUUUGGAAAGAUACAGAGAAGAUUAGCAUGGCUCCUGUGCAAGGAUGACACGCAAAUUCGUGAAGUGUUCUAUAAUUUA